rnacentral:tRNA from 1 species
GACCGCGUAGCUCAGUUGGAAGAGCAUUGGGCUAGUAUUCCAAAGGUCGUGGGUUCGUUUCCCACCGUGGCCA